UGCAGUCGUGCGAUGAGCCUAGCUUGCUGGGUGGAUUAGUGGCGAACGGGUGAGUAACACGUGAGUAACCUGCCCUUGACUCUGGGAUAAGCGCUGGAAACGGCGUCUAAUACCGGAUACGACCUGCCCCGGCAUCGGGUGCGGGUGGAAAGUUUUUCGGUCAAGGAUGGACUCGCGGCCUAUCAGGUAGUUGGUGAGGUAAUGGCUCACCAAGCCGACGACGGGUAGCCGGCCUGAGAGGGUGACCGGCCACACUGGGACUGAGACACGGCCCAGACUCCUACGGGAGGCAGCAGUGGGGAAUAUUGCACAAUGGGCGAAAGCCUGAUGCAGCAACGCCGCGUGGGGGAUGACGGCCUUCGGGUUGUAAACCUCUUUUAGUAGGGAAGAAGGGCUUCGGCUUGACGGUACCUGCAGAAAAAGCACCGGCUAACUACGUGCCAGCAGCCGCGGUAAUACGUAGGGUGCAAGCGUUGUCCGGAAUUAUUGGGCGUAAAGAGCUCGUAGGCGGUUUGUCGCGUCUGCUGUGAAAACCCGAGGCUCAACCUCGGGCCUGCAGUGGGUACGGGCAGACUAGAGUGCGGUAGGGGAGAAUGGAAUUCCUGGUGUAGCGGUGGAAUGCGCAGAUAUCAGGAGGAACACCGAUGGCGAAGGCAGUUCUCUGGGCCGUUACUGACGCUGAGGAGCGAAAGCGUGGGGAGCGAACAGGAUUAGAUACCCUGGUAGUCCACGCCGUAAACGUUGGGAACUAGAUGUGGGGACCUUUCCACGGUCUCCGUGUCGCAGCUAACGCAUUAAGUUCCCCGCCUGGGGAGUACGGCCGCAAGGCUAAAACUCAAAGGAAUUGACGGGGGGCCCGCACAAGCGGCGGAGCAUGCGGAUUAAUUCGAUGCAACGCG
rnacentral:rRNA from 1 species